GGUGGUUUGGCCGAGCGGUCUAAGGCGCUACGUUCAGGUUCAAAUGAAUUCAGUUUCGUAGUCUCGCAAGAGGCGUGAGUUCGAAUCUCACAGCCAUCA